UAAAGAACUUAAUAAUUAAAACUUUAAAUUUUAAAUUUGAAUCUUUAUUAUUUUAUAAUUCUAGCUAAGUUUAUUUAUUAAAAAAAUUUAAAAUAAAUGAAAUAGAUAGCAUAUUAUUUUUCUCUCAAAAAGGAAAAAUUGAAUCAUUUGAUUUCAAUUUCUUUUCGUCAAUUCAUUUUAAAGAUUUUGUCGAACUUAAUAUACGAACAUUAUGUCUAUACGUUUUAAAAAAAUUAGCUGCCUCCUUUUUAAUAACUUGAGCUUUUAAAUUAAUGAUUAGUGUGAACGAUACACAAAUAAUAAGCGACAUACACAA
rnacentral:lncRNA from 1 species